rnacentral:rRNA from 1 species
GACGAUCUCUGGCGGCGCGCCUAACACAUGCAAGUCGAACGAGAGAGAGGAAGCUUGCUUCCUCAAUCGAGUGGCGAACGGGUGAGUAACGCGUGAGGAACCUGCCUCAAAGAGGGGGACAACAGUUGGAAACGACUGCUAAUACCGCAUAAGCCCACAGGUCGGCAUCGACCAGAGGGAAAAGGAGCAAUCCGCUUUGAGAUGGCCUCGCGUCCGAUUAGCUAGUUGGUGAGGUAAUGGCCCACCAAGGCGACGAUCGGUAGCCGGACUGAGAGGUUGAACGGCCACAUUGGGACUGAGACACGGCCCACACUCCUACGGGAGGCAGCAGUGGGGAAUAUUGCACAAUGGGGGAAACCCUGAUGCAGCGACGCCGCGUGGAGGAAGAAGGUCUUCGGAUUGUAAACUCCUGUUGUUGAGGAAGAUAAUGACGGUACUCAACAAGGAAGUGACGGCUAACUACGUGCCAGCAGCCGCGGUAAAACGUAGGUCACAAGCGUUGUCCGGAAUUACUGGGUGUAAAGGGAGCGCAGGCGGGAAGACAAGUUGGAAGUGAAAUCUAUGGGCUCAACCCAUAAACUGCUUUCAAAACUGUUUUUCUUGAGUAGUGCAGAGGUAGGCGGAAUUCCCGGUGUAGCGGUGGAAUGCGUAGAUAUCGGGAGGAACACCAGUGGCGAAGGCGGCCUACUGGGCACCAACUGACGCUGAGGCUCGAAAGUGUGGGUAGCAAACAGGAUUAGAUACCCUGGUAGUCCACACCGUAAACG